rnacentral:rRNA from 1 species
GGGAAACUCACCAGGUCCAGAUGAAAUAAGGAUUGACAGAUUGAGAGCUCUUUCUUGAUUUUUCAGGUGGUGGUGCAUGGCCGUUCUUAGUUCGUGGGGUGACUUGUCUGCUUAAUUGCGAUAACGAACGAGACCUUAACCUGCUAAAUAGCCAGGCUAGCUUUGGCUGGUCGCCGGCUUCUUAGAGGGACCAUCGGCUCAAGCCGACGGAAGUUUGAGGCAAUAA